GCCGGGCCGCCGCGGCGCGACCGUUAACUCCUUCGGCGCGCGCACCGGCCGUUAGCGCCUGCUCGGGGCGUGCGUCUCAGCCGGCGGCCUGGGCGCCUGAGGGGCAGGACCCCGAGGCGCGGCACGCUGCUCGGGUGCCCUUCCCCCCGCCACCACCGCCCGCGAGAAAGCGGCUGAACUGUGCCCGUCCCAGGCGUAAGGGGAGAUGAGUACCUGGGUCCUAAUUUUGGACAGCAACAAGGCAGCUAACACAAGGAACCAGGCUGGGAAGAGAGAAAUGGAAGCUCAGACUUUCCCUGUCCCACCUCUGUAAAUAAUGUGACUGAGGAUAACAUGGGCUAAAUGGAUCCACACCUCAAAUCAGCUCAUCCAGGAUAUUAACUUGGCACAAAGACACACUGCUACAGGCAUCUUGUUCCCUGCUCCGCAGCAGCCUAGGAGAUGGAAACACAGGACUAGCUGUGCUGCAGUUCACUGCUUGGUGAGGACAUAUACUCUAACAGUUACUCAAACUUGACAGUUCUUCAUGCACAGGUCCCUUUGUCCCCAAGCUUUCUUUUUUCUUUUUUUUUUUUUAAUUUGUAAGAGAAACAAGUUUACAUAAACCAACCAGAACCUCAGUAAAGAGAAAAAAUAGCAAAGGUACAGCAUGAACGAGUCAGAAGAAGAGGAAGGUGCACUUUGAGGCUCAGCAACCAGUUACUGAAGAUACGGACACUGAAGUUCAUAACCCAAACACUAUUUGUUCAGCACAAAUUACAUGAACCCUCAGCAAACUCAAAAGCUAUUACAUUAAAAAGAUGCAUCUUGUUGAGUGAAAUCAUUUUGAAAUGCAUUGUUUAUACUGCCAUCAGCUACUUCUACCCAAAUAGUAAUUAUGGCACUUGACAAAAUAGGAAACAUGGUUGUAUUUUAAAUCAGCUUAUCACCAUCUCAAACAUUUAUACUCAGCUCCAAAUAAUAGCAAGUGUGUCACGUCCCAUUCCCCCUCACCACCAUCAUUCAGUGAUUUCAGUCAAGCACGUUUUUUUGGAGAAUCGUUUCUAUACUGCACCAUGCCUCAGGAAUGAGCUUCACAUGCUGGCAUACUAAACUAUUUGACACCAUAACCGGAAAAUACCAAUUUGACUGAACGCAAGAGAAGAAAGUUUUGCAAAAUAAAACUGAUAAUUAAGCCCAGAUUUUCAACUGUCACUGGACCCAUUUUAAACACAGCUAUGUCAACUAAGUUUUAAAAAAAUAUUUAUUAUUGACUACAGCUGUUGUCUGCUCAAGUUUAAAAAAGCUGUUUCAUAAAUUACAGUAGCCCCCCUCCAAAAAACACAGAAAGUUCCCCCCCCCCCCAAAAAAAAAUUUAAAAAAAGCCAUUUUUUGCUUUUAUGGCAUCGGCACAUCCUCUGGGCACCUUAGGCUUUGGUGUUCUCAUUUCACAGUUCUCUUUACAAGGCAGUACUACCAAUUGUCUUUUCAGACAGAUUUACAUGAGGACAAUGAAUAAUUAUUGCCACCAGCUGCAUAUCAUUAUCACAUGAACAACUGAGCUUCUGUCAACCAACUCCUGAAAAAUGACUUUAUUAUGAAAUAUUUUUAAAAGCAAGCAAUAACCAGUUGAGUACUUUUUUUCUUUUCUUUUUUUUUUUUUUUUAACUCAACAUUGCAUAUUGCAGCAUUUCAGCAGCGGCCAGGGGAAUGCAGAAGUCCUCAUCGAUUUGAAGCCCAGUCGUCAGUCAGAGCCCUUAGGGACCUGCCCCAGAAGAACAUCAGUGAGUGACAACGCCGAGAUACGAACCUUGAUCACAGAGCUCCUAGGCUAGCUCCCCAAAUCGCAGCAUCACAAAUAUUCCCAGAAAGGCAGCUUCUGUUAAAGUGCCACAGGCCACAUCCUGCUUAAGACUGGAAUUUUCUAGAAAGUUUGGUGUAAAUUAGGAAAACAGAUAACAUCUUCAUUUAUGUGACAACAGGAAGUUAAAAAAAAGGAUUUGAGCUAUUUGUUGUCAGAGUUUCUGACACUUCAAUGUUUUUAGGUCUUUUGAAGAAAUAGAUACCUUGUAACAUCAGGUACUUGCCUGAUUUUAAAAAAACAAAAAAACCCGACAUUUGAAAAAAAACCUUUCCAUUUCUCCUGCAACUUCUAUCACUGGUUUUUGAGAUCUUUUAUAAAUAAAUGUAAGUGAAUUAAGUAUCAGCAGCAUAAUAAGCAGGCAAGCGCUUUCACUUGGAAGAACUCAGAGAGGUUAACUUGGUAACAUUAUAACAUCAGCUGGGCCAUUAUAACAAACUGAAAAGAGCUCCUGACUGACAGCAUUGUGUUUUAUUGUUCAUGUAAUUAAGUGUUUCUCAAACAAAGGAUUAAAUUGCAUCAAACUGGUGGGUAACUGCCAUUCCGCUCUAUAAGCAGAAUACCCUGCAAAUAUCAUAGAGUCAUAAAUCCUCUUAACAGCUCCAUUUCACAAUAAUACACUUACUGCGCAACGGGUGUAGCAAGCACCUUGAAAGAACUGAGCUCUCCCCUGUAAGUUACCUUUGUUCCACAUAAGUGUAACCACAUUACAAGCUAAAAUAACACCAGCUCUAUCACUAGUGAAAGUAAGAAUCAUCUUGUCCAGCUGCCUCACUGAAAUAAAUGUUACCUAUAUUACUUCUAUGCCAAUCUCCCCCCAGAGAAGCGAGCCUAGUCUGUUUGCCUGACUCCCCACCCACCAGGAUUUAUCUAGAAGAAAACAGGCUCAUUCAGGAUCCAUUUUAAGGCUCUUUUCUCCUCAGCUUUGCUUUCCUUAACUACUACUAUGGAUAAAUUCAGUGUGUUUAGGUUCAUUUCUCUACCAAAAAGCACUGAAGCCCACAAAACAAAGUUGAGAGCAACAAUCUACAUGGUUGCCUAGAUGAUAAAGUAACUACAGAGUUAAGUUAAAGUGGGGCACAUAAAGCACACCACCAACUCUGCACUAGCUCUUCUAGGUGGACAUGCUCAUCCAAGCCAAGAACAGGCAUUUGUGCUGUCGAGGCUGAUUCCUUUUGGGAAGGAGGAUCUGGCCGAGGACACGCAGCAGAGAUGCUGCGCAGGCACACGCCAGGGAGCUGGGGCAGAGGGAGCUCCACGGAGGAGCCCUGUCAAAGCACCGAUUUUCAGCGCCGGGUUUCUUACUAUAACACAUGAAGGAGAGAACCCAAAAAGGAAACGAAACAACUUCACGUAUAUUUACAAGGAACUCCUCUCCAGAACGAGGAGUGGUGAGGGACAUCUAUUUUUUUUUCCCUACACCACACUGAAAGUUUGAGACAUGACCACCGAUAACAAGAGGCUCCACUGGAAAGGUGAUGGAUCUCUAUCGCAUGUUCAGGCAAACACGGCUCAAGGCGCAUUGGCCUGGAAGAGGGACGGGGCAGAGGCGAGAAGGGGAAGCGCAGCGGGAUCACCCGGCCCCGCUCCCUGGCGGCGCCGGGGCAGCUGGGGGCGACCGGCAGCCUGACCGGCAAGAAGUACGUGUGUGCGUGUGCGUGCACAUACACCUCUGCCUGCACGCGUGCACACACAUAUAUAUGUGCAUAUAUAAAUAUGUGCGUGUAUAUGCACACACACCCGCACGCAUGCGGAGCCCCUCACCGCUCGGGAACCCCCGCGGCGCCUCUGCGCCUCCCGGGACCCUCCCCGCCGCCGGGGCAGGGGCCGCCCGCGCCCCCCGCCGCCCCACGAGCCGGCGCCGGGAGAGCCCCGCGGGGGCCCCGGGCGGCCGCGCGUGCCGGCGGCGAGGCGAGACCGCGCCGGCGGGCCGCGCCCGGCACCCCGCGGGCCGCCUCCUUACCCCGCCGUCAUCACCACGUUGUAAAUAACGAGAUAGGCCGUAGCCAGCGCGCCCUGGCCCUUCCUCCGCCGCGGCUGCUGGCUCCCGUAGCCGUUAUCCGCGCGGCUGCCGCCGCCGCUGCCAGACGCCGCCAUGUUGCCGCGCUCCUGCGGCCGCCGCCUGCUCUCGGCGCACGCCGGGGCCGCGGGGCGGGGCCGCGCGCCUCCCCCGCCGCCGCCAUCUUGGAGCAGGGCAGCGGUGCCCGGUGGGGGAGUCGCGUAGCGGGGCUGCUCCCUCCGGCCCCUGGCUCUGGGCUGCCGCCCCGCUGGCUCGGAAAGCGGGGCUUCACUGCGGGAGGGCCCGAUCCGCCGCUCCCAUCGCACCGCCGGCCCCGCGGCUGCGGCGUCACUGCGGUGCCCGGGCCAGGGCAGCCGCCCCCAGGGGUUAAUGCGCCGCCGCUGCUCCUCGCUUGGCGAUUACAACGCGCCCCUCUGCGAGGCAGCCUGAAGCUCACUACAGAGAAGAGAAUUACGAAGUCCCGUGCUAUCGUCCUUGUGGGCAAAGAGUCUUUGCGUCGUAUGCAGGUAAUUAGCAAAGUCUCUUCACCAACCACAACUGCACAAUGGGCACUUGGAUGGUUGGAUGGGCUUGUAAUUAAGUAAAUUAAGUUUCUGCAAAUCCAGAAACCUGAGUUAUAAAAAGCAGUCGCUAGUCCCAAAAUUUCCUUGCCUCUUAAGGAGACUGAGUUUUAUAUAAAAGAAAUACAAGUAAAAUUAAGUGGUCCAACUUGUGCAGUAAUCAUGUCUUGCAUAACCUCUGCUAUUGGGGAUUCUGUCCACCUUACCACACCCAAAAUGUGGCAAACACACAGGCAAGACAAGGUUCAUAGGAAGAGAUAAUAUCUUUUAUUAGACCAAUUGGGAUGACUGGCAAAAUUAGACAGGAUUUCAAGCACAUGGAAGAUCCUUCUUCAGUUGGAAGAGGAGUCUUUCUUCUACUCUUCAAACAAAAAAUUUCAAGGCUAAAUACAAGUUGGAAUCAAUUGCUCAGAGUAAAGUUCAUUGUUUCCUAAAGACUAGAAGAGAUGUUACUAGGAAUCAACAUGACAUUUUACUUCAUCAACUAGAUGAUAAGCUAGACACAUCCUAGGGGAAAAAGCAAGAGAGGCUGUUUGUAGCCUGUUAAAUGCUGAGAGACUUGUAGAUGAGGAGAAGGAAGGGAAAUUCUGUGCAGUAAAACCAAUGUUGAGUCUGUGGGGUUCGAUAGCCAGUACACAUAUACACACACCUACAAACCUUGCCGUGUCUGUGUCCUAGGCCAUCAAAGCCGUAUGUUUUAUCAGUACAGAACAGCUUUAUGUAUGUGCCUACCUGCACAGAAAACAGCAGUCCAAUGAAUAAAGUUAAGUACAUUCACAAGUCUGUUGAGGCCUCACCUUGCAAAGAUGACUGUUUCAAGGGUUGAAGGUUUGCUUAAGAAAUAUGUUGAUAAAGACAGGACAUUUCACAAUCGUUGCUUUAGGGAGCCUCUGCAUGGUCAGAAGUGCAGAAGCACCACUAU